CGCACCUUGCGCUGAGGUCGGCGUUGGAGUUCUUGCAGGUGAACGACAACCGUUCAGGCGAAAGUUCAUAAAUUGAACGAUUAUGGAGAUAAGACCCCGAAACAAAUGAAAAGAGUUAUUUCUACCUUCAGGCAAUGACUUAAAAGUGGAUCGUCUGUGAACGUCCAUAAUGGCUGACACUGUUUUCCUGUGGAUGGCCUACACUUCAGUGUAAAAACACAAAAGGAAGCUGUCACACGUCUCGAGUUUGCUCUAAAGGGAGGUGGAUACAUAUCAAUCUGUACAUCCCCAGUUGCCCCAGGAACCCUUGUGAAAAUUCCAUCCUGAUCCAAAGACUUGAAACGUAAUGAGCCAAAACAUGUUUUUUCUUAUUAUAGUGCCAAUGAUUGCUGAAAUGGGGCCAUUCUUUAUGGACUCCCUUUGGACAAGGUCUUGAGUCAGUCCACCAAGUUAGAUGUAGAUACAUCAAACUG